rnacentral:lncRNA from 1 species
GAAAUAAUUCUGGGUUUGGGGAAUGUUAGGAAACAUAAGUAUAUUAUAAAAGAAUCUGUUAAACCAAAUAUCAAUAGAUUUAACAGACCAUACCACAUUAUAACAUUUCUUUUACAAUGCUGUGUUCUUAAAAUCAUAAUCAGCAUCAGAAUAUCUUACAAUUGUAUAAAUUUCAGAGUAAUUUAUUUGUCUCUUUAAAGUUUGACAUUAUAUAAACACUUGUCUAUUGAAGAAAUUUGUGUGUUGAUCUUUAUUUAUAUGUGAUGAUGGUCUGCUGUUUUAUUGACAAAUACUCCACAUCUCUUAUUAUUGAUACUGUGUACUAGAUCAGUUAAGAAGGAAGAAAUUAAACAUGGGAGGCAUUUUUUUUUGGUAUCAUAUAAAUUUGUUAUUUAGUUUUGGUUUUGUGUUUUCAUUU